UUGUGUGGUCGGCAGCGAAGUUGUUCUCCACCAAGAACACUGAUUUCAAAUGGUGCUAGACAA
rnacentral:pre_miRNA from 1 species